rnacentral:tRNA from 1 species
GGUCACGUGGCCAAGUGGCUAAGGCACCGGUUUGCAAAACCGUUAUUCGUGGGUUCGAAUCCCACCGUGACCUCAA